rnacentral:lncRNA from 1 species
UUCCAAGUAAGAGUGGUCAGGAAAGGCUUCACAUAUAGUUGGGUUUGAAGAUAAAGGAAGAAUUAGGAGAGAGGUUGUUUAGAAUGAGGCAUUUGAUAUGUCUGAUCAAGAUCAGCUGAUACCAUGCUUUAACAUAUAGCAAUGGUAUAGUUAAAAACAAAAGAAGAGGAGGAAGGGGAGAAGGCAGAUGUACUCAAAAGCAAGAUAAACGUCUUCAAGGAUGUAGUUGCAGGACAAUGGCUGGAAUCAGGGGCUGGCUUGCUGGGAUCUGUUCUUAGCAAACCAUUCUUGGGCCUGGGUCUUGAGGGUCUGUUCUUAGUGUAGAGGCACCAAGAGUUUGACUCCUUCAGCUAACAGAGUUUCACAGUGCUUUGCCUAUAGAGGAAGGCUGGAGCCAGGCUCUCUGCUUGAAACAGGGAUUUGGAUCUGAUUUUCUCUUGAUUGAAAGAGAGCCCACAGCCACCCAUGUAAGGCCUAGUUCUGACUGUGGGCCCUGGAAAGUCAGAGGCUACUUUAAAAAACUCAGGAAAAGAGAGAGUAAAGAGAGGAAGAGAUUUUCAAAAAUUUCUAUUCAAGAUAACCCUGCACACACACUCGAAAUUCAAAGUAUACAUAAAAAAGACUCAACAAGUGGAAUGUGAAUUCACUUCCAAAAAGAGGCAAAUUAUUGAACAAUUUGAAAAAUGUUUAAAACAAAGAGAACAACAAAUGUAGAAAAUGCAGAAAUUAAAGAAGAACAGUUGAAGAUGAUAAAUACUGAGCAUACUGGAAAUGAACACUCUACAUAUUAAACAAGGAUAUACUCUAGGUUGGACAUAGUUGAAGGGAUAAUUAAUGAAUUGGAAGCUAGCAUUGAGAAAUUCAUAGAGAAUGCAACACAGGGAGAUGAAGACAGAAGCAGUUUGAAAAAGCUGUUGAGAUGUAUAUUAGCAUGGUGAAGUGUUUAAUAGGAUUUCAGAAAGGGGAGAACAAAGGGAAUGUGGAGAAGAAAUAUGGGAAGAAAGCAUGGCUGAAAAUUUUUCACAAUUAAAGACAAACAUUCUCAGAUCAAAAAUACUCUUAGUGCCAAGUAUAAAAACAUAUACAUCUUUGCACAUAUCAAGGUGAAUUAUAAACAUCAAGAGUAAAGAGAAGAGGGCAUCCCAGGAAGCUAGGAUGUUUGAAAUAUAAUUGGGAGAAUCCUUGUUGCAGUUUGGAUUGGGCAGAGAGGGUAAGAAGCUGAACUGUAAUGGGGAAAAAUAUACACAUUUUGGUUACACCUUGCAUUGACUCUCUGUCAUCCCCUCCCUUGGUGCUGACACAUGCUUACUGUAAAACUGAUCCAAUGAUCCCAUAGAGUUGAUGUUUGUGGUUUCUUUGAAUAAACAUAUAAAUUGAUCCUUGCCUUCUUAAAACCUGAGAAAGUUACAUUUGUCUUAUCUGAGUUCCUUUCUAGGGAAACCAACUAUCAGGCCUCCCAGAUGGUAGCAAUGAGCUGAAACUCACCAGAUCACUUAUUAUGAACAAUAAGACGUCAGACUCUUCACCUGGUCUCACCGCAGAGGGGCACGCCAGCCAUGAGGACAGAUGAGGGAACACGUGAUGCCACGAUGGGGGUGCCAGGAUGAGUUUACCUGGAAGGUCCUCUCCUGCGCUGGCUCUGGGGGUGCUUGGAACCAGAGCCCCUUAGUCGAAGCGCGUCCUGCUGCCAGCUACUACCAAGUCCUUAGGCCGAGCCCGUUUCUCUCCUGGUGAUGUGAAUCCUCGUUUUUUGUUGUUGUUGUUGUCGUUUACUGAAGUCCCGGGCUGAUUAGACACAGCAAUGGAAGCUGGGGGUGGCCUGGGCCGUGCAUUGAAUUUGUGACUUUAGCAAGUCCCUAAAUUCCUCUCUGCCUCACUUUUGCUGUCUUUUUUAGGUUAAAAAUAUUUUGGAGAAUAGAAAACAGAACAAAACAAAAAUAAUGGCUUAUAGUGCCAAUAUGGAAUUAUAGUCACUCCUAACAUUUUGGUAUAUUGUUUUGCAUUUGCUUUGUUUCUAUUCUAUGCUUAUAUAUUUUUAAUUUUUUUCCAUCACUGUCAUCAUAUUUCCUAUUCAGGUCUCCAGCCUGCUUUAAAAAUUUUUUAAUCAUAAAGUUCCAUAAAAAUUUUAUUUCAGCCAAUUUCUUUUAUAACACGUUCUUCAUGAAUCUUAUCUGAUAUCUGCAUAAUAUUCCACUCAUACUUUGCACAAUUAGACAUUAAGGUCGUGUGUACUUUUUAAAUUAUGAUACAGCAAUUUCUAAAUAGUGUAUAAUUUCAAUUUUUGUUUCUUAGUUAUCAUAACAGUUCUUAAAAGGUGAUAACAAAUUUUUAAGUGGAUACAUUUUUUCCCCCUUCUUUGGUUUAUAAUUUUAUUGCUCUGUGGUCUGAGAAUGUGGCUGUAUUUACGCUUUUUGAAAUUGAAGUUUUUGAUUGAUGGUUGAUUUCGUAAAUAAGUUUAGGCACAGUUUUGUAUAAAUGAUUGGGCACAAAAUUCUUUAUAUUAGAUCAAGCUUUGUAAAAUGUAUUAUCCAUAUCUGCUAUGUCUUUUUAAAAUUUUUAUCUACUUGAUCUAAUUUCUGAAAGAGCUGUAAGUUUUUUAAAUGUGUUUGUGGAUUUACUAUUUCUUCUUUAUAUAUAUAUAUAUAU